GCAGGAUGAGACACUUGCAAAAAAAAAGUCAGGAUGACAAUUUAGGUAAAAAAAAGUCAGGAUAAACUAAAAAAAAAAAAAAAAAGGCAGGACAGAAUAGAGUGAAAAAGAAAAAGGCAGGACAGAGAUUACAACUAAAAAAAAUGCAGGACAAAAUUUUUCAUCCUAGCCCCCCCAUAAAAAUCAAAUGGUAGCUCCCUUAA
rnacentral:lncRNA from 1 species